UAACCUAUAAUUCCAUUGUUUACGACCAGUCCUCGACAGGUUUCGUGCCUCGGUGCUAUUGGGAUACGGUGUGUGUUUACUGAGUUUCCACUAAGGAUUUUUGCCCUAUAUCCAAUUGGCAACCGUGUUUGAUGUGGUGUGAGCUGUUAUUUCAUCGAAGGAAGCAAACGUACCAUAUGUUCAGAGAACACCCCGUGUAAUUCGGUCGCGGAUUAUUUUCGUUCACUAGACGUUGAUAUAUCCGAAUAUUAGGAUAAUUGUCAUUUCUUAGUGGAAGCCCGGCAACAGACAUAACCUAGAAAAGUCUGUGUGUUGCCGGCCACUGGAAGUCAAUGUAUAUUACGUACUUCACGGUUAGCAAAUCGAGGGUUCUGGUAUAAUAUAAAUAAUAAGACUAAAAUAUUAAGUAAACAUUUUUGAUACCUCCUUUCGUUUCGACUACGUCACGGCUCCAGUGGCCGCGUGUUUUGAUGAAACGAAAAUAAAAUGUUUCGACAUCUCGGUUACCUUUCGAAAUAUUGAAAAAUGAAACUUUUAAAUUUAUUGAACAUCAGGUCAUUCACUGCCAACUUGCAUAUUUCCGUCAGCAAUUGUCUUGUCAAAGUAUGUGCAUGACGAAAACCGAUUUCAGUUACAUUUUAUCUCAUAAUUAUUGAUAAAACUGAAUGAAAUGUUCGUUGACAUUUCUUUCAACUUGUUGAAGUUAACACUGUCAUUUUCAAUGUUAACCGUCAAAUUUGAAAGAGACGUUUUCCUUAUAAAUUACGGAAAAUCGUGGAGCAGUUUAAAAAUAUAUGAAAAUCUGUGUAUUUUCAUAUCAACCGUUUUCCGC